rnacentral:rRNA from 1 species
UGCAGUCGAGGGGUAGGGGCUUUCGGGCCUUGAGACCGGCGCACGGGUGCGUAACGCGUAUGCAAUCUGCCUUUCACAGAGGGAUAGCCCAGAGAAAUUUGGAUUAAUACCUCAUAGCAUUACAGGAUGGCAUCAUCCUGCAAUUAAAGUCACAACGGUGAAAGAUGAGCAUGCGUCCCAUUAGCUAGUUGGUAAGGUAACGGCUUACCAAGGCGACGAUGGGUAGGGGUCCUGAGAGGGAGAUCCCCCACACUGGUACUGAGACACGGACCAGACUCCUACGGGAGGCAGCAGUGAGGAAUAUUGGUCAAUGGACGCAAGUCUGAACCAGCCAUGCCGCGUGCAGGAUGACGGUCCUAUGGAUUGUAAACUGCUUUUGCACAGGAAGAAACACUCCGACGUGUCGGAGCUUGACGGUACUGUGAGAAUAAGGAUCGGCUAACUCCGUGCCAGCAGCCGCGGUAAUACGGAGGAUCCAAGCGUUAUCCGGAAUCAUUGGGUUUAAAGGGUCCGUAGGCGGUCUUGUAAGUCAGUGGUGAAAGCCCAUCGCUCAACGGUGGAACGGCCAUUGAUACUGCAGGACUUGAAUUAUUGGGAAGUAACUAGAAUAUGUAGUGUAGCGGUGAAAUGCUUAGAGAUUACAUGGAAUACCAAUUGCGAAGGCAGGUUACUACCAAUUUAUUGACGCUGAUGGACGAAAGCGUGGGUAGCGAACAGGAUUAGAUACCCUGGUAGUCCACGCCGUAAACGAUGGAUACUAGCUGUUGGGAGCAAUCUCAGUGGCUAAGCGAAAGUGAUAAGUAUCCCACCUGGGGAGUACGAACGCAAGUUUGAAACUCAAAGGAAUUGACGGGGGCCCGCACAAGCGGUGGAGCAUGUGGUUUAAUUCGAUGAUACGCGAGGAACCUUACCAAGGCUUAAAUGCCAGACUGGACCGAUUUGGAAACAGAUCUUU